rnacentral:rRNA from 1 species
ACACUCUAUACGGAGUUACAAAAGAAAGUUAUAAAUGAAGCGGUCUGGAAAGGCCCGCCAAAGACGGUAACAGCCCGGUAGUUGAAAUGGCUUUCCCUCCAGAGUGGAUCCUGAGUACGGCGGAACACGUGAAAUUCCGUCGGAAUCCGGGAGGACCAUCUCCCAAGGCUAAAUACUCCCUAGUGACCGAUAGUGAACCAGUACCGUGAGGGAAAGGUGAAAAGCACCCCGGAAGGGGAGUGAAACAGUUCCUGAAACCGUGUGCCUACAAGUAGUUAGAGCCCGUUAAUGGGUGAUAGCGUGCCUUUUGUAGAAUGAACCGGCGAGUUACGAUUUGUUGCAAGGUUAAGCGGAAAAAGCGGAGCCGUAGCGAAAGCGAGUCUGAAUAGGGCGCAUAAGUAACAGGUCGUAGACCCGAAACCAGGUGAUCUACCCAUGUCCAGGAUGAAGGUAAGGUAAUACUUACUGGAGGUCCGAACCCACGCACGUUGAAAAGUGCGGGGAUGAGGUGUGGGUAGCGGAGAAAUUCCAAUCGAACUUGGAGAUAGCUGGUUCUCUCCGAAAUAGCUUUAGGGCUAGCCUCGAGGUAAAGAGUCAUGGAGGUAGAGCACUGUUUGGACUAGGGGCCCUUCUCGGGUUACCGAAUUCAGAUAAACUCCGAAUGCCAUGUACUUAUACUCGGGAG